GUCAGGUUUUGUUUUUUUCCAUGAUUACAUGCCAGGAUAUCUUUUGUCUCGCCUUGCCAUGCUAUGCUGUGAACUUUGCCACAGUUUUUCCAUUGAUCCCAUGCCAUAGUAGUCCAGCUCCCAGCCGACUGGACAUCUGUUGUCUAGCAACUCCUGCACCAAUCAGAGCGUCAGGCCUCUCCUCUCCUCUGCAGUGGAACCAGCCUUGCAUGCAAAUGGCCGACAUCGAGAGUUCACACACAACUAUCAAACUCUACAGAACUACUGACAGGAAAGCACAAGUAACUAAUUCCUUAGGCGCACAUACAGAUCCUUCAAGUGCCAAGAUGCAUACGUACUGCAGAAGCCCA